rnacentral:rRNA from 1 species
AUUGAACGCUGGCGGCAGGCCUAACACAUGCAAGUCGAACGGUAACAGGAAGCAGCUUGCUGCUUUGCUGACGAGUGGCGGACGGGUGAGUAAUGUCUGGGAAACUGCCUGAUGGAGGGGGAUAACUACUGGAAACGGUAGCUAAUACCGCAUAACGUCGCAAGCCCAAAGAGGGGGACCUUCGGGCCUCUUGCCAUCGGAUUUGCCCAGAUGGGAUUAGCUUGUUGGUGGGGUAACGGCUCACCAAGGCGACGAUCCCUAGCUGGUCUGAGAGGAUGACCAGCCACACUGGAACUGAGACACGGUCCAGACUCCUACGGGAGGCAGCAGUGGGGAAUAUUGCACAAUGGGCGCAAGCCUGAUGCAGCCAUGCCGCGUGUAUGAAGAAGGCCUUCGGGUUGUAAAGUACUUUCAGCGGGGAGGAAGGGAGUAAAGUUAAUACCUUUACUCAUUGACGUUACCCGCAGAAGAAGCACCGGCUAACUCCGUG